GCUGUCGUCAGCUCGUGUUGUGAAAUGUUGGGUUAAGUCCCGCAACGAGCGCAACCCUUAUCCUUUGUUGCCAGCACGUAAUGGUGGGAACUCAAAGGAGACUGCCGGUGAUAAACCGGAGGAAGGUGGGGAUGACGUCAAGUCAUCAUGGCCCUUACGAGUAGGGCUACACACGUGCUACAAUGGCAGAUACAAAGAGAAGCGACCUCGCGAGAGCAAGCGGAACUCAUAAAGUCUGUCGUAGUCCGGAUUGGAGUCUGCAACUCGACUCCAUGAAGUCGGAAUCGCUAGUAAUCGUAGAUCAGAAUGCUACGGUGAAUACGUUCCCGGGCCUUGUACACACCGCCCGUCACACCAUGGGAGUGGGUUGCAAAAGAAGUAGGUAGCUUAACCUUCGGGAGGGCGCUUACCACUUUGUGAUUCAUGACUGGGGUGAAGUCGUAACAAGGUAACCGUAGGGGAACCUGCGGUUGGAUCACCUCCUUAC
rnacentral:rRNA from 1 species